UUAACCAGCAUGUUUGAAUUUAUAAAGUAAAUUCUUUAUAUAGCUGUUAAAGUAUUUUGCUAUUGCAGAGUAAAAAGCUAAUGUAAAGAUUUUACAUGAAUAAAACAUUAAAUUUAAUACCGAUUCAUGUCAAGUGGCAACUAACGAUUUAAGUUUAUAUUAAAACAAUAUUAAUUUACUUUAAAUCAAUAUUUCAGAAACUUCAAUCGUAUGAAUUGGGCCCAAUACAUCUAAGGAGUUUAAAGAGCUUAAUCAUCAAAAUCCUGUUGUCAGUUGUAUGGUAAAGAGAAAAAUUAUCCUUUUUUAGAUCAACGUAUUCCUUUCCUAAGGAACAUUCAAUUUCCAAUUAUUUUAGUAUGGUCAAGGACCCUCCCGUUGCCGGCGAGCUAAGCCCUCACUUCAAUCGUUCCAAGUAGGACCUUACUAGAAUAAAGAAAUAAUCAAACAACUUUCAAACUGAGUACUGCAACACCGCUUGUGACUGGUUGAUGUCAAUCAUUGAAUUUGGUUUCUAUUUGGUGACUCCUAAAUCCUUUUCAUUGAUGUUUUUCCUUAUCGUUGUAUAUAAAUAUUCUAACAUAUUUUCUGUAACUUCUGAAUUUGAACAUAAGUGAAAUAUAUUCAUAUAUUCU